UUUCCGUAGGUGAACCUGCGGAAGGAUCAUUAAUGAGUUGUCAUGGGGUUCGAUGCUGGCAGCCAAUUUUUGGAUGCAUGUGCUUGCCCUAACAAUCAUCUUCCAAACACCUGUGCACAUUUUUGAGGGAAUCUUGAGUUGGUUGCCGCUCUUGGGUGAUUUUCUCACAUUCCCUUAAAUCAUUAUACGCUAUUAACAAUGUUGAACGUGCUCUGUGCCGCAAGGCUAUUAAUAUAAUACUACUUUUAACAACGGAUCUCUUGGCUCUC
rnacentral:misc_RNA from 1 species